rnacentral:rRNA from 1 species
UCGAUGGGUUGUAGCCGGCUCCUUUGGAGCAUGUGCACACUUGUCUUGAUUCUAUUCAUCCACCUGUGCACCAUUUGUAGUCCCUGAGGGCUGAGAGUGGCUGUUAACAUCAUCUGACUUGAUGGACGAGAGGAUUGCGAGCACGCAAGUGCAGCUUUCUUCAGCAACAUGCCAUGACCUCCCUUGGAGUCUAUGUUACUUUCAUAAACCAUUUAGUAUGUUGAUGAAUGUAAUCAAUAGGCCUUUGUGUCUAUAGAAUCUUAUACAACUUUCAGCAACGGAUCUCUUGGCUCUCGCAUCGAUGAAGAACGCAGCGAAAUGCGAUAAGUAAUGUGAAUUGCAGAAUUCAGUGAAUCAUCGAAUCUUUGAACGCACCUUGCGCUCCUUGGUAUUCCGAGGAGCAUGCCUGUUUGAGUGUCAGUAAAUUCUCAAUCCCCACUAGCUUUUGCAGUUGGGGCUUGGAUAGUGGAGGUAUUUGCAGGCCCUUUUGAAAGGUGUCAGCUCCUCUGAAAUGUAUUAGCGGAACCGUUUGCAAUCCGUCACAGGUGUGAUAGUUAUCUACACCCAGUGGGUUGCUCUCUGAUUGUUCAGCUUCCAACUGUCCUUGUGGGACAACUACUGAACUUUUGACCUCAAAUCAGGUAGGACUACCCGCUGAAC